GCAAGGAAAGCAAAAUACUCAGUACUACGUGCAACCGUCGAGAGUAAAGCGGGUGGAGGCUCGAAGGUCGAAGUGAGGGGAUUCAGGCCGUCGGUUGACACCCGUUGGAGGAUGUCACGGUGCGACCCUACUAAUAAUGUUGGGCGUCCCUUCUAGCGGUGUGUGUUGCCGACGGGCGUAGUUCGCCUCGUAGUAGGUCGCCGCGACCCGUCGCUGGGGAGGUCUAAGGACCCAAUGGAUUGGUAGCCCUCCGUCGCCCUGUGGUUGGUGGUUGCUUUUGCUUGUUCUGCAGGCUUAAGUGAAGUCACACCAAGAGCAUCUAAGGCGGAUCGGGUGAAACCUUGGGGUUUAUAAUGCUGGCAACCCUGCGACGGUCGAUGAGAUGAGCCCCCUACCUCUCCCUUGCGGAGAGGGUCUGGGGGACUCUCGCGGCGUGAACAGGUCGGCACUCUACCCGUCCC
rnacentral:rRNA from 1 species